CCGACCGGCGCACGGGUGAGUAACGCGUAUGCAACUUACCUAUCAGAGGGGGAUAACCCGGCGAAAGUCGGACUAAUACCGCAUGGAGCAGGGGCCCCGCAUGGGGAUAUUUGCUAAAGAUUCAUCGCUGAUAGAUAGGCAUGCGUUCCAUUAGGCAGUUGGCGGGGUAACGGCCCACCAAACCGACGAUGGAUAGGGGUUCUGAGAGGAAGGUCCCCCACAUUGGUACUGAGACACGGACCAA
rnacentral:rRNA from 1 species